UACGUAGGGUGCAAGCGUUGUCUGGAAUUAUUGGGCGUAAAGAGCUCGUAGGUGGCCUGUCGCGUCGGCUGUGAAAACUCGGGGCUCAACUCCGAGCUUGCAGUCGAUACGGGCAGGCUAGAGUUCGGCAGGGGGAGACUGGAAUUCCUGGUGUAGCGGUGAAAUGCGCAGAUAUCAGGAGGAACACCGGUGGCGAAGGCGGGUCUCUGGGCCGAUACUGACACUGAGGAGCGAAAGCGUGGGGAGCGAACAGG
rnacentral:rRNA from 1 species